rnacentral:rRNA from 1 species
AGAGUUUGAUCCUGGCUCAGAACGAACGCUGGCGGCGUGCCUAACACAUGCAAGUCGAACGAGAAAUUCAGCCUUCGGGCAGAAGAGUAAAGUGGCGCACGGGUGAGUAACGCGUAGGUAAUCUAUCCUUUUAUCUGGGAUAACUCUUCGAAAGGGGUGCUAAUACCGGAUACACUUCGUUAUUGUAGGGUAAUGAAGGAAAGGUAGCCUCUGAUAUAAGCUACUGUAGAGGGAGGAGCCUGCGUACCAUUAGCUAGUUGGUGGGGUAAAGGCCUACCAAGGCAACGAUGGUUAGCGGGUCUGAGAGGAUGAUCCGUCACACUGGCACUGGAACNCGGGCCAGACUCCUACGGGAGGCAGCAGUGAGGAAUAUUCGCGCAA